UGGGCGUUAAGUUGCAGGGUAUAGACCCGAAACCCGGUGAUCUAGCCAUGGGCAGGUUGAAGGUUGGGUAACACUAACUGGAGGACCGAACCGACUAAUGUUGAAAAAUUAGCGGAUGACCUGUGGCUGGGGGUGAAAGGCCAAUCAAACCGGGAGAUAGCUGGUUCUCCCCGAAAGCUAUUUAGGUAGCGCCUCGUGAAUUCAUCUCCGGGGGUAGAGCACUGUUUCGGCCAGGGGGCCAUCCCGGCUUACCAAUCCGAUGCAAACUGCGAAUACCGGAGAAUGUUAUCACGGGAGACACACGGCGGGUGCUAACGUCCGUCGUGAAGAGGGAAACAACCCAGACCGCCAGCUAAGGUCCCAAAGUCAUGGUUAAGUGGGAAACGAUGUGGGAAGGCCCAGACAGCCAGGAUGUUGGCUUAGAAGCAGCCAUCAUUUAAAGAAAGCGUAAUAGCUCACUGGUCGAGUCGGCCUGCGCGGAAGAUGUAACGGGGCUAAACCAU
rnacentral:rRNA from 2 species